rnacentral:misc_RNA from 1 species
UUAACUUAUUGAAUAAGUAAUCAGAGAUGCUAAAAUGCAAAGAGUUUGUAUUCCUCCGGCGGUCCGCCCUGAGGGCAAGCCGCCGAGGCAACUGGUAGGUUCGUUCACAAAGGGUUGGGAGUUUUGCAACUCUGUAAUGAUCCCUCCGCUGGUUCACCAACGGAGA